rnacentral:rRNA from 1 species
UACGUAGGGGGCGAGGCGUUGUCCGGAAUCAUUGGGCGUAAAGAGCGUGUAGGUGGCUUGGAAAGUCUUACGUGAAAGCCUGACGGCUCAACCGCAGAAGUGCGUGGGAAACUACCUCGCUAGAGUCCGGAAGAGGAGAGCGGAAUUCCUGGUGUAGCGGUGAAAUGCGCAGAUAUCAGGAGGAACACCGGUGGCGAAGGCGGGUCUCUGGGCCGAUGACUGACGCUGGAGGAGCGAAAGCAUGGGUAGCGAACAGGA